UUUAAAGAGAGUUUGAUCCUGGCUCAGGACGAACGCUGGCGGCGUGCCUAAUACAUGCAAGUCGAACGAACGGAGGAAGAGCUUGCUCUUCCAAUGUUAGUGGCGGACGGGUGAGUAACACGUGGGCAACCUGCCUGUAAGUUGGGGAUAACUCCGGGAAACCGGGGCUAAUACCGAAUGAUAAGAUGUGGCGCAUGCCACGCCUUUGAAAGAUGGUUUCGGCUAUCGCUUACAGAUGGGCCCGCGGUGCAUUAGCUAGUUGGUAGGGUAAUGGCCUACCAAGGCAACGAUGCAUAGCCGACCUGAGAGGGUGAUCGGCCACACUGGGACUGAGACACGGCCCAGACUCCUACGGGAGGCAGCAGUAGGGAAUCUUCCGCAAUGGACGAAAGUCUGACGGAGCAACGCCGCGUGUAUGAAGAAGGUUUUCGGAUCGUAAAGUACUGUUGUUAGAGAAGAACAAGGAUAAGAGUAACUGCUUGUCCCUUGACGGUAUCUAACCAGAAAGCCACGGCUAACUACGUGCCAGCAGCCGCGGUAAUACGUAGGUGGCAAGCGUUGUCCGGAUUUAUUGGGCGUAAAGCGCGCGCAGGCGGUCUUUUAAGUCUGAUGUGAAAGCCCCCGGCUUAACCGGGGAGGGUCAUUGGAAACUGGAAGACUGGAGUGCAGAAGAGGAGAGUGGAAUUCCACGUGUAGCGGUGAAAUGCGUAGAUAUGUGGAGGAACACCAGUGGCGAAGGCGACUCUCUGGUCUGUAACUGACGCUGAG
rnacentral:rRNA from 1 species